rnacentral:lncRNA from 1 species
GGGUGGGGGGGGGGGGGGGGGACCUGUCCUUCAGCCUGCCCGCUUUCUAAGUGAUUAGUGAUCGUGCGUGCUAGUUCUCGUAACUGUACUUGUAUCGGUAUGUUAUGCCUUCAAUGCACAAUGUAGGUUUAAUAAAACAAGUCAUAUGUCAUGAUUAGAUGAUUUUUGAAACAAAACUUAAAACUCAGGUGACUCAAUGCAUGUACUAGCCGGCAUAUAACAUGAUGGCGUGCUUGUCAUGCAGGGAUAGCAUGCAGGAGCAGAAACCGGAAGAACGGACUGAAACUGGAAGACAGAAUGUACUUAUUUUCUUCAUAAUUUUGAUAUCUCAGAUUUUUCCUAUCAAAUUUCAUACCAUAACUUUCAACAUUCAACGAUUUCACUUUACCAAUAUAUUAUGAUUUAGUGCCUUAGCUUGCUGCCGCUUGCUAACAUCUUGUCUUUCUGCCUCAUAUGAUCUUGAAUUGGUGCUUCAUUCUUUGUAUUAUUUUGUGUCACACCCAAACUUCUCUUUUAGGAGACAUCCCAGUUGGAACCAGAACUAAAUGCAGAUGAACAGGAGGAAGGAGAUAGAAAGAGGUUCGUACCUUGCUUUGGAGAUAUAGUUAUUAAGCUGCUCUCAUUUUGUUUAUCACACACUCACCCUAGUGACCCUCCUGUGCUUCUCAGGAUAUUAGCACUAUAUAAGCAAAAAAGAGAUGAGGAAGGAAGAGCAAGAGGGAGAAUACGAAAUCAAAUACAGGAGGACCAGGUACUGUAAUUUUUUUCAUACUCUUAAUGAAGUAAAAAAAGCAAAAUACUACAAAGGAAGAACAAAAUGUGCUUACUUACACUACAUUUUAAGUAUAUCCGAUGGCCAUUUUCUUGUCAACUGAAUGUUUCUCAUUGUUUCUAUAGAGGGAGAGGAUUCGAGCUGCUAAAGAUCUUAUGGAAGCAAAGCGAACUCUUGAGGAAAAUCAAAGAAAGCGGUUUGUUUCAUAUGCAUGUCACAUUUGCUAUUUGCAGAUCCGAAUUGCUUAUUGGAGAAGUGAUAUUUUUGUUUACUGCAGCAUGAUGGAAAGUCGGAUAGCAGAUCAAGAGGAGGAGAAAAGAGCAAGGGAGAGAAUACGACAACGUAUAGCAGAUGAUAGGGUCCGUUGCUUUUAAAUCCUUUAUUCGAACAUUUUAUUAUAUUGGACUUCCUCAAUGAAAUGUUGUCACCAUAUGCUUUCACAACUAGAUGAAAUAUCGUUGCUUUUCUUUUUGCACUGCAUGGAUUUAACUAAAUCAAACAGUUCCUAUCGAUUAUGAUCAAACUUACGUUAAAAUAAUAAAAUAUAUUCAAGGGCGCUUGCAAUCACAGAAGUGACAUCAUUUUCUUACACUUUAGCAACUAUGUCUUUUGGCAUUUUCCUCCAAAAUUUUCCAGUUAUAUACCUCCAAUGCCUAAAUCUGUCCUUUUAUGCAGGCAGAGAGGAGGAGAAGGCUUGGUUUGCCACAGGAAAAUCCUGAGGCUUCAGUUGCGACCAUAACGCCCAUAAAGGUCUAAACGCCUUUCCACCAAACUUUUACAUCUCACAUUCUCACAAUCGAAACCUCCAACCACAUUCCUCACGUACUUUUUAGCUGCAGGUAAAACCUGUUGAACGUGUUGUAACAUCAGAACAACUGAGAGAUUGCCUGCGAACUCUGAAGAAGAAUCACAAGGUAAAAUGAUGCCUUGCAGACACUAGUUUUGAUCCAUGGUGCUCUUAGGCAUUUCAACUGGCGCAGAAGCAUUGGCGAUUCUGAAUAUGGUGCUUUGUAAAUACCACAGUAAAUACAGUGUGCCCUUCUGCAUUGGUUUAGAUUAAAAUAUUCCAUGAUGUUUAGCAUUUGCCUUCUUAGCUUGUAUUUUGAUCUAGUGUAGGAGUAGUUUUCAUUAUAAAUAUGACCAAAUACGGCAUCAGACUACCUGGAAGCCAGGAACCAGUAAAUGUGCUGUGUGUCACUUUACUUGUAGGAUGACAAUGCCAGAGUCACAAGAGCUUACCAAAUACUGUUGAAGAUUAUUGCCAACAUAGUGAAGAACCCAGCAGAGGAAAGGUUCAGGAGGAUUCGUCUCAGCAACCCCAUUUUCAAGGUAAAUGUGAAACAUGCCAGCUCUCAUAUUUCAAAAUGCUGCAAUCCCCUGCAAGACCUUCAGUUCACAUACCAUGCUCUCUGCAACAGGACCGGGUGGGUAACCUGCAAGGAGGUAUAGAAUUCCUGGAGCUGUGCGGGUUCCAGAGGCUCAGCGCCAGCGGCUACCUGGUGAUGCCGAGGGACAAGAUCGACGUGGCGCUCCUCAACGCCGCCGGAGUCGAGAUCGCGUCGGUCAUGGAGAACCCCUACUUCGGGCUGCUCUCCAAGUGAACGGAACGGCCAUUUGUCGCUGCCUCAUCACUUGGAGCGGCUCGUCUAGUCGUCCGGAAUCAUGGUACUGAAACGGGGUGUAUUCAUCACCGAACGGACUUCGCCGUAACGUAUCGGUCCGUCACGGUUGACAGAAUCUGUCCCUGUUGUCAGUGCCGUUGUACAGAGUCAGUCACCCCGUCCAAAACAGAAACAGAGCAAAAUGUCCACGAAGUGAAAUAAACAAUCUCACCCGGAGGAAAUCAAACGCACCGUGUACAAAUGCAAUGGCGUAGGAGAUGUUGCAUUGUAUGUUUUUUUUUUAAAAAAAACUCGUGUUCCUCACCGUUGCCGUUGUGUGUUUUUUUUAAAAAAACACCGUUACUGUACAUGGUUAGCCAUGGUGUACAAGCUGUUGAAACUGGGUNNNNNNNNNNNNNNNNNNNNNNNNNNNNNNNNNNNNNNNNNNNNNNNNNNNNNNNNNNNNNNNNNNNNNNNNNNNNNNNNNNNNNNNNNNNNNNNNNNNNNNNNNNNNNNNNNNNNNNNNNNNNNNNNNNNNNNNNNNNNNNNNNNNNNNNNNNNNNNNNNNNNNNNNNNNNNNNNNNNNNNNNNNNNNNNNNNNNNNNNNNNNNNNNNNNNNNNNNNNNNNNNNNNNNNNNNNNNNNNNNNNNNNNNNNNNNNNNNNNNNNNNNNNNNNNNNNNNNNNNNNNNNNNNNNNNNNNNNNNNNNNNNNNNNNNNNNNNNNNNNNNNNNNNNNNNNNNNNNNNNNNNNNNNNNNNNNNNNNNNNNNNNNNNNNNNNNNNNNNNNNNNNNNNNNNNNNNNNNNNNNNNNNNNNNNNNNNNNNNNNNNNNNNNNNNNNNNNNNNNNNNNNNNNNNNNNNNNNNNNNNNNNNNNNNNNNNNNNNNNNNNNNNNNNNNNNNNNNNNNNNNNNNNNNNNNNNNNNNNNNNNNNNNNNNNNNNNNNNNNNNNNNNNNNNNNNNNNNNNNNNNNNNNNNNNNNNNNNNNNNNNNNNNNNNNNNNNNNNNNNNNNNNNNNNNNNNNNNNNNNNNNNNNNNNNNNNNNNNNNNNNNNNNNNNNNNNNNNNNNNNNNNNNNNNNNNNNNNNNNNNNNNNNNNNNNNNNNNNNNNNNNNNNNNNNNNNNNNNNNNNNNNNNNNNNUUUGAAGUAGUUUUUCUCUGACAAUGAAUUAAGAGAUAAUGAUUAAACCAAUAAUGCCAAAUUCUGCGAUUUCUUGUUAAAUUGAUCCGUGAUAGGUUCUUUCAUGUUCUAUUUUCAAUAUUCAUUUUGUGUAGGUUCUAACAUAUUCGUGACUGGACAUUAGAAUAUGGAUACCCACUACAUCCUCCAACCUCGAACCAUGGAUGAAUGGGUCACCUCCCUAGACCCACAAAAGGUAGAUGAAUUUUGCAUACAUCUUGCUGCAGGGCAUCGGAGUUUAACCAUUUUCAAUCAUCGGGUAGCUGCUCACCGAAGAUGGGGAGGCUGCUAUGAUGCGGUAGUGGUCGUCGACAUUGUAGCAAAUCCGGGUGACGAGCGUCGUAGAAGGGGUAGAAGAUCCGGUACGGUAGUUGUGGUCGGGGGGGUAGCAGAGUUGAAGGAGUAGUAGAUCAGGUGCGAUCGGUUGUUGUCGUCGGGGGAGCAGAUCCGGUGCGGGGGUGGGGGGGGGGGAUGACCCGUGCUGCCUGCCGGCACAUGGCAUGCUUUGUGCAAUGUACUUUGGAGCUUCAAUUCUAGCGGAUGGGGAGGUGCCGCCUCCUGAACUGAGAUGCGCAUGUGGACCAGGCAUGGGGCAUGAAUCCUUCGGAAUGCCAAGAUGAUGGAUAAUCUGCUUGCUCUGCUGGGUUCUAAUAAUCUGGCAAUUAGUAGUAAUGUUCCAUGGAUGAACUCUCAGAAAUAAUGCACGUUCGAUGAACGCAAAAUCCUGCACUUUCCAUGGCAUCGACCAGUGUCGUGAAGGCCUCUGCAUUGUGCAAUUGUGUUCAAGGUACAUCGAUCUCGAUCGACCUAACGUACACGACACAGCAGCGGUACGAGCUUCUUCACAGACGCGGAUGUCUCCUUUGCUGUCCUUGGAGACGAACGACGGGCUCUCAUAAUUUCCACCGUGUUACGAGUUCGAUCGCCGUGGCAUGUAACGGACGCAUGUGUAGUACUGCUGCUGCUGCUGCUGCUCAAAGGCAAGGGAUCUGUAAGCCUCCGGCCCUCCGCAACUCGCGCAUGUACCGGGAUGUACGCGUCCAGUGUCUUGUUCGGGCUGUUUGGAGCCAUGACCGAUGCCCGCACACCGACGUCACGGCUGUUUCGUAGUACAGCGGCAGCGGCAGCGAGGACAGAGCGAGAGAGCAUCGAUCGAUCUGGCACGAGGAGAACGCUAUCGCUUCUCGGCUUCUCCGCCUCGAUGCACGCAAUAGUUUGUUCCUGGCAUGGCAUGGGCGCAGCGACGGCAGCGCGGCGUUGGCAGCAGGCUACUAGAGUUUUGUAGGCUGCAUCGCAGCAGGGCUUAGGCUCCGACAAAGGCAGGCAGGGAUGGGACUGGGGCGGAGGAGGGGAGCAGCAGCAACGGGCAGCUGGAACAGCGACGCAGACGCAGGAGGAUUGAUUGGAUGAGAUGGGCGCGGCGGUCUCGCCGGCACAUGGAAUCCGAUGCCGCCGUGCGUGCGCUCCCGCCCCGCGUUCCUCACUUCUUCCGGGACGCGACCCCGCCUCCAUGCGGAGAAGAAUAGAAGAUGCAGCGUGCGCGCAAGCAAAAUCUCGUCAUCCUGGCGGACGCCGAGGAUCCGGGGUCCGGCCGGAGCAGUGAAUGUGCGGGUGCGCGUACGCGAACCGGCCGGACGGCCCGGACCCGUGCGUCGGCUGCUCCGCUGCGUUCUGUUCGUGGCUUCAUGCGGAGCAUCUGAUUACUGCGGCUCAACCACCGGACUGCGGCGGCUGCGUUCCAUGUUCCUGAUGCAUGCUCGAAGCUCGAUCGAACCGGCUGCUCGACCGCUUUCUCUCAGGGUGUUUGGAUACACUCUGCUACACUUUAGCACAUGUCACAUCAAAUGCUUGAUAUUAAUUAGAAGUAUUAAAUAUGAUUUAAUUAUAAAACUAAUUGUACAGAUGGAGUCUAAUUCGCGAGACGAAUCUAUUAAGCCUAAUUAGUCCAUGAUUUGACAAAUCUAUUAAACCUUAGUAGAUUCGUCUCGCGAAUUAGACUUCAUCUGUACAAUUAGUUUUGUAAUUAGCUAUGUUUAGUUCCUUCUAAUUAGCAUCCAAACAUCUGAUAUGACCCAACUAAAGUUUAGCAACUCGUAACCAAACAUCCAGGAAAAGCAACAAGAAACCAAUGGAUGGACUCGUGUGGGGCCUCGUGGGCCGUCUGGUCUCGUCGGUGACCCGUCGUCCAUCGCUCAGCUCAGCCCUCCGCCAGUUUGGGAGCUUCUGGCUGUUACACGUUACAGUGUUACCACUCGAGAGGGAAAAUGGGAGAAGCACUGACAAGGCCCCAAACUGACAAACAAUGCCAGGCUUACAACUCCUCUCUAGAGCACUACGCAUCGUGCCAUGCACGGGGCACAGUCACGCAGCACGGCCAUUCGGCCAGGUUGGUCUCGGCCAAUCCAAGGAACGUGGACGCAGAAUUCCAAGAAAAAGCGUCAGGCAAGCUUUAUCGACGAGGCUACUCUACUAACCUAGGAUGGGAGUGUUGGACUAGCUAGAUAGGCCAGUAGGUUUGGUCCAUAACAGAGUGUCACUACCAGGUAGGUGCACGCUUUUGACCCAAUGGCCAUCCUGAACAGUGGUUUUUGUCCAUAACAAUGUAAGGUCCUUGUUUAGUUGCCAAAAUUGGAAGUGCUAAAAUUACUGUGCCGGCACUGUAGCACACUGUAGCGUUUCGUUUGUAUUUGUGAAUUAUUAUCCAAACAUUGACUAAUUAGGCUCAAAAGAUUCGUCUCGCAAAGUACAAUAAAACUGUGCAAUUAGUUUUUAAUUUCGUCUACAGUUAGUACUCCAUGCAUGUACCGCAAGUUUGAUGUGAUGAGGAAUCUUCUUUUUGCAUAGUGCCAAAGUUAGGAGUUGGGGGUGAACAAGGGCUAACAUGAUGAUGUACGGCCCCGGUCAAUGGAUCAUUUUAUUUUACCAUACCGGGCAGUGCUCGGACAAUGAAAUAGUAAUAGGUGGAGGGUUUUUUUGCAAAUGUUAUGCAAAAAGGUUGUGUUGUGUUAUGGCAUUCCCAUGCUUUCCUUUCGAGGCUCACUGCAGUGCCAACUCCAAAUAGUUUUUGCUAAAUCGAGGUUUCGUCGGGGAGCCACUAAAAAAGUCUGGUGAUUCGAGCCAUGAAAACUCCUUCGUUUCAAACAGCAUUUCCCAGCUGAUAAUUUCCAUUCUCAAGAAGCCAGGAAGGCGUCACUGGUUAUGCUCUACGUGCGUUUGUCGCGGAUGUGAGGCUGGAUGUUUAGCGAAAUUUGAUGCUAAUAUACAUGUCCUUUCGCACUAAGCAUCUUUGAUCCUGAAAUGUUGAGUCAGAUGCCCCCCGACCACCCACAAAUCUAUGUCUAUGUCGUCCCUAAUUCCCAGUUCCGAACUCAAUGUUGACAUCUUUUUUUUUUUGAAAAGUAACCUUGCAUGGAUCUUCAAAGUCCAAACCUAGCAGGUUCGAUUGGACCAUUGCUUCUUGAUUCAGAGGACGUUUGGGUACCGGGAGCUAAACUUUAGUCCUGUCAUAUCGGAUGUUCGGAUGCUAAUUAGAAAAAUUAAAUACGAUCUAAUUACAAAAUUAAUAGCAGAACCCCUAGGCUAAACUAUUAAACCUAAUUAAUCCAUCAUUAGCGAAUGAUUACUGUAGCACCACAUUGUUAAAUCAUGAACUAAUUAGACUUAAUAGAUUCAUCUCGUGAUUUAACCUAGAGGUUGUGCAAUUAAUUUUAUAAUUAGUUUAUAUUUAAUACUUCUAAUUAACGUCCAAACUAUCGGACAGGUUUAGUCCUGGUCUCCUAAGCACCCCUCACGCGAGUUCGAGGCUAGCAGCUCAGAAUCUCAGAUCCUGAAAAGCACCACUAACCACACCCCCUUUCAGAUUCAUCAUCAGUCACUUCCAACCAGCUUCCAGGAGUGGCACUGUGGCACUGAGAAAGCCCUCCCAAACCCGUCAAAGUUCGCGGCACAUCUCUCCCACGUUCUCCUCCUCGGCCCCCAAAACCCCCCAUCCCCGCGCGCGCGUGGCGCGCAGCUCGCCCCCGCACGCCAAGAAUCUCGGGUGCCGGCACCGCCGCCGUCACCCCGCCGAGGCUCCCAAGCUUUCUUCAUUUCCUGUCCGCGCCCCGGCACCCCGCGCAAGCCUCCAAAUCCGCGAGCGCCAUGCGGGCCGCAGACCCGGCCGAAACCCGCCACCGCUCCUGCCUUCUUUUCCACACUCCCCUCGUCACGCGCUCUGCUGUCGCUGUCCGUCGGCGUCCGGGAUGACAACAAAACAACGAACAGAUCCAGGGAAUCGUAUACACUAAAAAAAAUUUGGAGUAAUGCUAUCAUAGAGCAUCAGCAGAUUCCGGCCACGCUCGCGGGCGAUCGCGCUUUGACCCGUAAACGGCGCGAGGCGUCCAAAUCAGCCUGCCGGAGAAGAAUAAUGGUUAAUGAGCCUGUGACGCUCGAGGUAGCUUAACCACCGGAUGAUCCGUCGGCCGGCUCGGCCUACACGACACCGCCGAGGUCGCUCUCGCCGUGCCCAAAUCGCACCCGGUUGACGAACCGGCCGUUGCGGGCGUUUGGUUUGGUAUACUUUCUUAAACAGUGUGAGGCAGGCAGGCAGGCAGAGGCAGCAGCAAUGGCGGCGAACGAUGGCACCACCUCCUCCCCACCUGAACAUUCCUCCACUCGCCCAACCUCGUACCCGGCCGAACCGAGGCCCGGAGCGCCGGAGCGGUUGGCGCUUGCUGGGGCCUGCCGAGGAGAGGAGGGGAGGUGAACGGUGAACCGCUCGUCCAACCGGCACCCACCAGGCCACCACCACCACCCCGCCGCGGGUACGAGUACGAGGCGAGACGCCGAGGAGGGAACACGGGACCGAGCCAAGACGGGGGCUGCACCGCCGGGUUCGGCUUCCGCUCCAACCUAUCGACAAGUGCCGGCGACCAACCCGUUUUUUCCCCUUUCCAUCUUGUGUGCCCCGUUGGCCAUUGCCCACUGGGGACGGGAAAAAGAAAGGCCGUUCCGUUUAUCGUUGGGUCGGCAUCAACGAACGAACCGACGGCGAGGUUAGCGCUCAUCCGGUUCACCCCCAUCAUCAUACCAAAAAGCUCACAGAGUGCGCUCGUGUCUGGCUAGCUGCUUCUGCGUGUUGCGUGUAGGACUGGCUGCCUGGCUUUUUUAUCGCGCAGGUGACGACGGCCCGGCGGCGGAUAGAGUAGAGAAGGUAUUUCCAAAGUUGACAUACGUGUACGUGUCGUGCGUAUCUCUCCAUCGGUCGGGGUCAUGAACGUAUGAAACCACCCUCAUCUUAUCUCGAUCUCAUCGAUCUCAUGGAUUAAGGUGUUUGGAUCUUGAGCUAAAGCUAACGUUUAGUAAUUGUCACAUCAAAUCUUCGGAUGCUAAUUAGAAGGACUAAAUUAUAAAACUAAUUAUACGGAUAGAGGCUAAUUCACGAGACAAAUGUAUUAAGCCUAAUUAAUUCAUAAUUAGCACAUAUUUACUCUAGCAUCACAUUGUCAUGGACUAAUUAGGUUUAAUAGAUUCGUCUCGCGAAUUAACCUUGUGCAAUUAGUUUUAUAAUCAAUCUAUAUCUAAUACAAUAUCUAAACGUUCGAUGUGACAGGACUAGCUUUAGUCCGUAGAACCGUGGCCUAACUUUAUUUUCUCUCGUAGUGACUUCACGCGCUCCAAUCAGGGCUUGACAUGUUCAACGUCUGACACCUCAAACUGGAGAAAAACUGGAGCUCUGAAAUGUUGACUGUUUUGUUUUUUUUAAAAAAGGCAUGUUGACGGGCAGGCGCUCCUCCAUGGAGGGAGAGCUGAGCUCGAAGUCGCAGUAAAUGGACUCAUGCAGUGGAAAUGCUGAGUGGGGAGCAGUAAUAAAAUUUAAAACGCCACGCGCAGGGCAUCUCGAGUUCUCGACCUCGGCUGGACUCUCCUUGAGAUCUUCAAACAGUGCGUGCUUGCUAGCUGGACUGCAGCAGGGGGAGUAAUUGCGGUGGUACUAAUCCCGGGUCAAAAACCAAUCUUAUUAACCGGCCACGGUAGGGAGAGUGGCAGCUCACUUCCACUGAUUGGUUAGUUUGGUUGGUUCAUGAAAGGACCAAGAACUUGCUUGAUCUUGAUCUUGAUCCAGCAUGGUUUCUGGAUUUGGGAAAGCAGAGAAAAAUGUGCAGCAAGGGAAGGGAAUGCUGAUCUUUAAGAGCAAGUCGCAAUUUUGCAGCAGAUGACACUUUAAUUGAAGUCGGACAUGUUCUAAUCUUUUCACAAUAGCAGCAGCACAAGAACGGGGGAAGAGUUGAUGGAGAGAUGGAGAUCUAUCUAUGUCUGGAUCCUAUUUCAGUUGCGGGCGCACCGGAUUGGCCGAUCCGCGGCGAGCGCAUUUCGCCGGACGAGGUGUCGGCACCGCCCGCCCGGCCGCCGGCCGAGCGGAGAGAGGGGGGGGGGUGUCAGAAGAUGUCGAGGACGUCGACGAUGGCGGCGUUGCAGAGCGGGCAGCGGCCGCGGCCGGCGAGGAGCUCGCGGGCGCAGGCGCGGCAGAAGGUGUGGCCGCAGGGGAUGAAGGCCGCGCCCUUGGCCCGUGCCAUGCACACGCAGCAGCAGCCGGCGACCACGCCCCUGCCCGCGCCGGCCCCCGGCUCCGUGUCGUCUUCCACCAGCUCCAGCGCCUCCGCUCCCGCCACGUCCUCCUCCUCGCGCGGGGCCGCGGCGCCGGCACCGGCGCUCCACUGCCUGUCGGUCUGCUCCAGGAGCGCCAUCAGGGAGACCCUCUCCCCCUGCUCCUCCUCCUCCGCCGCCUCCGCCACCGCGGGCGGCUGCGGAGGCAGAGGCGGAGGCGGAGCGGGAGAAGGGGCGGGGGAGGCGGAGGCGGGCGCGACCGCCGGCGUGGAGGCUGCCGUGGUCGGGGCGGGCAGCGACACCGCGCGGCGGACGAGGAAGGGGUCGGCAGCGCCGGGGCCGUCCCCCGACGCGGCGGCGGGAGGGGGCUGGUCGUCCCGGAUGAUGUCGAGGAGGGUGCGCGCCGCUACAGCAGCCGCCGCCGCGGCGGUGGACGCCGACGGCGAGGCCGACGGCAGCGAGACCUGCCUCUCGGCGGCCAUGGCGGAUGCGAGCGUGACCGCGGCGCGCCGCCCCGCCGCGAGGUCGUCCUCGUCGCGGAGCUUGAGAAGGUCGCGGAGGUUGCACGACCCCGCCGCCGCCCCGACCGCCUGCGGCGGCCCCACCGCGGCCAGCUGGUCCGCCAGCGUGACGCUGCGUCGCAUCAACCUCCCCGCCUCCAUCCCGUCGCGCGGCCAAUCAGCUGACUCGGCGAGCCGGGGAGAAGACAAGGGGGAGCAGGGGAACCGAAGCGAAGCGAAGCGAAGCGCCUGCUAUUCCGAGCGGCAGGCAGGCAGGGCAGGGGAGAGGGGUAGCAGCGGCACGCUUGGACUAAAUAAGUGAGGGCGUGGCGCGGCCUGGGGGGGCGUGCGGGGGGGUUUGGGCUUGGAUCUCGCGUGCGGAGGGGCGGGAGGCCGGAGGGCGCCGCGUGAUGGGAUUCACUCGCUACCGAUUUGGGGGCGGAAAUGGCUGGUUUUUGCGGGGUUUUCUGCCUGCGUGCCAGCGCCCGGCCGAGGAGUUUGCUUCUGCUGCGGCGCCGGCUCGGGGCGGCCUCGGGCUUUUGCUUUCUGGCUCUGGGUGGUGGGUGGGUUCGCGGAUCCGCGGCUUGGAAGGUUGCAGGCAGCCUUGCAGCAGCGGCGGCGCUCGUGCUCGCGGAGUGGGAGAGGGCUCGAGGAGGGAGUAAUAAAGGGUGGAGGGGGCAUGGGAGUCGGGAGGGGGGCCUGGUGGUGGGUCAGCUGAGCGGGCAUGCGGGGGGAGCGUGGAUCCAUCUGCCAAGGUGAAACUGGAUGCCGUUUGUCGGGGAGGGGGAGCCCGGGCCGUGCCGUGGUGUGCCCGGGGGCGCGGCGGAGUGCGGAGGCGUCCGAGCGCCGGGUGGUGCACGGUGGGUGCUUUGCUGGAUGCCGACUGAAUUGCUGCUGAUGGCAAAGUCUGCGGGGUCUGGGCCGGUUGACGAUGGCAACGGAGGAGGCGACAUCUGCGGCCGCGUUGCGUUGGUUGGGCCGGUAAUCCUGGGCCGCGUGCCAGCUCUGUUUCACUUCCAUCACUGGCAACACCAGCAACAGCUGCUGCUGAACCUUCCAAACGCUGCACGCUCUCCGUGAAGCGAAGGCGAUUGCACCGCGCAGCAUGAGAGGUCGCAUGCUCCAUCCUUCUCAGGGGAGACAGAGGGAGACGCACGCAAAAAGGAGAGGUAUCCAGCGACAUUGUCGCAUCGGCGAGAAACCAAAGUUCCGAGUCGCCAUCGAUCGCUUCCUCCAAGACGUUGGCGCCCUCCUCGUCCUCGGCGGGCUCGCUGGCCUCGCUGCCACCGCGGGGCACGCUUGCCACAAGUUUAGUUUACGCAGCGUAGCGUCGCACUUGUCAACACAUAAACAGUGGUGCUCUCGCCGUGCAGGAGAACAACACGGGAAAGACUAGCGCCUGUUGAGUGGAAGUUCCAAUUCGGUACGCUGCGUGUCGUUCUCUGAAAGACUUGCGUGCCGGCAGAAGAGGCCCAGAAUGGACCUGUGCCUCAACACUUUCUGUAGUCGGAAUGUUGCAUGGAGCACACCCAAAACUCAGCUACUCUGACCAACCAGACAUGCUGGAGAAAUUUGCAUUGAGCGUGUUCCACAAAAGAAAGAAAUGUCGCCUUCAGUCCAUCAAGAGGUUCAACUUUUUCGACGAGACAGCUGGAGCAGACAAUUGACCGUUGAACAUAUCUUUCUAAGCGACACCAGCGGAAAGCUUCUAUAACCACACAUCAAUGCCGAAACCAGAAUAAUCUCUGUGGCGUCGCAGAUUAGUCUUCCACAAAAAAACUUUUAAAGCAAAUAACAAUGAGCCUGUAACUGCAACUUCAAGCGCAUUGCAGACAAUAUAGCUUGCACAAUGCUAGAGUUUCAGGCAAAAGCUCAACGAAUCAAGGAAUAUGUCCUAAAUUUUCCACAACGAAUCAUGCAACAGUACCAUCCGUACAAUCUCUUACAAGGCCUGUAUAGUCAAUUGUGUCCCUUUCCAUUCAUAGUUUGAUCCAAGCAAAAGGCAACAGCAAUGGGAUAUGAAUCAGCCUGACCAGAUCGACCGUAACAACUCUAACUUUGUACAAGUUGCAGUCAGUUUGAACCCCCUACAAAAAUGGACUUGAUCAAGAGCCUAAACAUGUACACUGAGUGAAUCUUCCAACCAAAGAAUAUGCUAGCUAAUCUCAUUCAUCUGCAUGUUUUGUGACUGUUAUUUUGAUGAGUACGUCGGAUCUUUGUGCUAGCCAUGUCUUAGCCUUCCACCUUCUCAUAGAAAAGAAUGUAUGCCUCGCGCUUGAGAACUUCUUCUAGAGUGGCUUCUCUGAUGUUACCGUCGUCUGCACAAAACCAUGAGGAAGAGCAGCUGCUCUCCUGUUGCUGAUUUUCAAGCCUUCUUGCUCUCACGUAAGCAACAUAGUGUCCUGCAUUCAUUGACGGUCCACCAAUGUGCUCUACCACACCAGCUAGACGAUAGAAAGAUUUGUCUUUGUCCACGGAACUGAAUAUUAGAGAAAAAAAAGUAGGUAAACCAAAUGCAUGGCUAUAAAUGAUUGUAUUAACUUAUCAUCGACAAUGGUAUGCCAUUCUUGAUCAGAAAUCCUAAAAAGCGAAUAUUGUUCACAAGCAAACCCUACAAAUAAAAACCCAUACAACAAAAAUAAUCAACAAAUAAAGCUUCACAAAUAUUAAGAAGGCCAUUACAUAAUAUUAGGUUUAUAUGUAUCCAUCAAUCUUAGAAAUAUCAGCACAAGAAUUAUACCAAACACAAAGCAUUCAACAGAUAAAAAGGCUACAGGGUUAAGGAUUUAAAAGGUACCCACAAACACAGAACAAACGAGCUCUAAGAUAUGAUCAUUCUAAUUUUUUUUAACUUAUAUGUAUAUUUAUUUUAAUAUCCAAGGUAAAGUGAUACGCUGCCAAUAUGAAUGGGCUUUGUAGCAGAUAACCCCCACUCAAUUUGUAUUCGAAUAUGACCGGUUCUAUAAGACAAGCAUUCUACUGCAAUUAACUGACUAAAGCAGUUUUUGAUCUAAGACAAGAUUAUGACAGGCAGAUAGCACAGGAUUCUGGUCAAAAUAAGACUGGAGAAAAAAGACACUUAAAUUAAUUUAUUUUUCUCAAGCUGGAACUGCAAUUAGUUGGAAACAUAGUAGGACCAUUUGCAUUGACAUUUAAUUCCCUUUCUUCAUAAGCACAAACGAAACAUAGCAUAGCUUUUGAAAAUUUCUCGAGGGGAAGCUGCACAGGCACUGAUAAAUACUCCUUUAUGAACAUAUUAGAGGUGGCAGUUAUGCAAUUCCCUUCACAGAAUUCAAAAGAGGGAAGCUAUCCAAGUUUUAGGAAACGAGCAUGCUCUAUAUGUCCUUCAUUUUCAUGAAGAAUAUGCUUGUUUUUAAGCUCUAGCUGUUGAAUUGAAAAGUCAAAAACCACUAUGCACAUAGUAUAUGGAUUACGGAGACAUGUCCACAUGAUCACAAAUGAGAACACCACUAGAACAUGGAGUCACUAAAUAACUCCUUGACCUAUAAUGACAUGUGUUCUAAAUGCUAUUUUAGAGAAGAUAUUCUUCAAGCUAGAAGCAAUAAGUUAGGCCAAAAAAGAAAUCCCUUAUGCAAUCAGACAUGUGAUAAAACUGUGUAGAAGUAUUAACAUUACUAUAAAGAAUUAUCAGUACCUGGGGUCCAUGAAUCUCCCUACAUCAAGAUACUCCUUAUAGCUCACAUGUGUUUCAAUUUUAUGAUGGUCAUAGCCAUCCUUGAUGUACCUCUUAAUAUGAAGAGUUAAUACAGGUGGCAGCUUGGUAAUACGAGGUGUUUCAGUAGAACAUCCGCUCCUCUCUUUCUGUUCAUUUUGGUUGUCUCCUAACUGGCUUGUACUAAGAUCCAGCUCUACUUGCUUCCUCCUGUCCUGAUUUGGCGUGCUAAGAUUUUCACUAUGAUGAGUGCCCAACAGAUUGGUCUGUUUCUCAUCUGGAAGGCAACUACUUGCAGCUUCUUGAAUACCUUCAUGGCAUUCAAUUUCUUUAUCGCCAUAACUCAUCCCUGAAUUUAUUCCUUCCGCAUUUGCUUCCACUGUUUGUAUAAUUUCACUCUUUGCAUCAGAAUCAUCUGGUUGCCUAUUUGAAGAAGAUUUGCAUUCUACUGACAAACUGUUUGGUUCAAUAGAUUCCUCAGUUUGGUCUGCUAACCUGUCUGACUGUUCAGUCUGAUUCCCAUCAGCUGCUGUGUUAUCAGUGGUACUUGCCACCAUCUUCUCAGCAUUUCCACUUUGAUUGGUACUUGGCUCCUCAAGAACCUUGGGACAAUAAUCACAAUUCCGUUCUACCGUCUGUUCUGUAAAAAACAAUGAUAGACAAUCCUCAAUUGAUGGUAUAGAAUUGCUAACCUCUACCUCCUUAUCAUACACGACAUCUCUGCUCUGAGCAUUUGCUUUGUUUUCUGCAGUGAAUUGUACGAUUGAAGUGUUCUCCUUGGCUUGUACACUAACUACCAGCUGAUUCAUGAUAUCACCAGGAUCAGCAUUGUCAUUUUGAUCUACACAGCUGCCUGAUGCCAUCGGUGCACCAUUUUCACUUAGUGGAGCAACCAGUGGAGGUGGACCCAUAUCUUCUGGACUGUGGGAAUCUGUUGUCAUCUCAAUCAAUUGCUCAACUUUCACAUUAUACAAGUUGUCCGGAACAACACUAACAGACUUUGGUGGUGCUUCAAUGAUCCCUUGUGAAAGCUCCGAACAUGAGACUUUAUCCUCCCGAGUCUGCAAAGGAUCCUGUAUAACAUCCUUGCUUUGCCAGAUACAUUGCACAUCAGAAGAAUCUGCAUAGCCAAGCAUAUAAUACUUAAUUUUACCAGAAAUAGCAACAUCAUGCAACAAGUAAUUGUCAUCCUCUAAGUAUUUUUUAGGAUCUCUACCCUCCACAUUUGAAGCAGCUUUCUUUUGUGAAUACCCACACACGAUUAAGUUAAGCAACCAUUUCCAGUGAAGCUUAUUUUUGGAAAAGCAAGCUAUAUUCUAGUGGCAGUUUUAAAUACUACACUAGAGCAAACAUUGUUGCCACGUUAAUGCUGCUGAACACCCUGCUCAUUUAUCUAUGCACAUCCUGAAGGUUUCUUCUUUCUUCAGUCCAUGUGGGUAAAGGGGUCCCAUUAAACAAUUUUCUCCAUUUAGAAAGUGUAGGAGACCCAAUCCGACUUGUUUUCUUAUUGUGACCAAGACAAUAAAAAUAAUAGUGUGAAAGUGUUCCACAGUUUCCUGCAUUUUGAUUCCUCAACAAUGGUGCAGUCUAGGACACUAGGCCAUCCCCAGAAUCUGCAGUCAGGACUUUUGGAUGGAUGCAGGAGCGCAUAAACUCACCAACUUCCAAAGGCUCAGGUGUUUUCUCCACGGCAACAUCUUUCAACUCUGAACCAAGAAGGUCAGAAUCACCGCUUUUGGCAACUGAUUGGAUCUUUUCCGAUGUACUCUUCUCAUUUGCUGGAAUUAAUUGAGUAGCAGCCUUAUUCGGUUGAGAUUUGAGACUCAAGCUUGUUUGUGGUGCUGCAGCACUUCUGGAUGGAUGCUCCUUUGAUGGCAGUGCCAGUGAGAGGUCACGGAUCUCAUCGUGGGAAGCCUGACUAGAUCCACAAUAUAUGCAGGACCGUGUAUAAGAGAGUUCACCCCUGAAAAUGGAAUCAAUUACUGUAGGAGCACCUCUUUGCCUGUUAGGAGUCUCAAUUUCAUUUUCCUCCCUAUGCAAAGCAUUGCGCAAGGAAUCAAGCAGUUCAUAGCUGUCGUGCAUUUUAUAGGGUUCAAACUUGUCAGCAUGUAAGCGUAUGCUUCUCAAGAGUUUAUCUGGGUUCAGCAUGCCUCCCACAUCAUCUGCCACACUUGUCUCCAGAAAAAGCUCCAUUAGUGCUAGGCCAAGGUGACCGGACGGAGCAUCCGGUCCUAACAUAGUUUCCUGCAGCUUAUCAAGCACAAGGAGGCACUGCACUAUUGCAUUCACGUAGCAUGUGCUGCCGCGAUUCGGUAUCCCUCUGAUAGCAUAGCCUUGCACACUAGAUGAUCCGAACUCAUGGCCAUGCCAUGUGUCUCCAAGAUUCAGUAACCCACUGACAAGACCCGAGUGCACAUCAAUUCCAAACGCAUGACCGCCUGUCUGAAUUUCGCCUGGCAUUUCCUCCUGCUCUGGAUAGACAACCACUUCAGAUCCACACUUGAAGCAGAAUCCAGCUUGUGGAUCGGCGAACAUCGCAGCAACCCAAUGCUGCUCCUGCUUGGCGUGAGCCUGAGCGUGCCCAUAUGGGAUAUAACUCGCCAAUUCCCCGCAGGAUUGCCGGCCGCAGUCCAGGCACACCAAGAUACGGCUAUUCACGGACUCCUCCGAACGCUGGCAAUCCGCGCAAUGCCCUGCGUCAUCGGAUAGCAAUGACGAAUCCAAAAUCUCCCUGUGAGCACUGUCUUUUGGGACGUGAUUGCACCGAUCGUUGUCCUCGGUCACCUCCGGCCACUCCUCCCACCGAUCCUCCAACGCCGUCGUAGCCAGCAACUCCAGCCGCGGAGUUUUGGCAUCCCGCGAGCUCUCGCCCGCCUCCCACCCCCUCGGCCUCGUGUCCCCCAUCACGCCUGGAACAACGGAACCACAAGAAACAUGAGUCGGAUGGAUGAUGAACCCUACGAAUGCGGAUAACCCAAGAAAGCCAAGAAAGGGGGGCAAACUAGGGGAAAAUCCAAGAAGACGGCGAGAAAUCGAACGCCUCGGCGAGGAUCAUGGACCCGUACGGACCAGGGGCGAACCAAGAAAGCCAAAGGGCCGAGAACCAGAGGAGGGGAAAUAAUCAAGGACAACCGAAAUCGCAACCAUUCUGGUAAGGAUCAUGAACCGUGCGGAGUAGGGGAUUAGGCCUGGAUGAGAAAAAGGCGAAGAAAUAGAGAAGAAAAAACCCAUCAGAACAACACGAAAACCGAAACGCUGCCGCGGAUUCAAGAACCAAAAACCCAUCGAGGCACGCAGAACAGAAGAACCGAGACCGCAACCAUUCUGGGUAGGAUCAAGAGCCGUACGGGAUAGGGGUUGGACCAAGAUAGCCGAGACGCGCCGCGAAGAACAAGGGAAGAAAACCCCAACAGCAAAACACCGAAAUCGCACGACGUUCCGGCGAGGAUCAAGAACUGCGCCGCGGAUUCAAGGACCGAAACCAUCGACGCAACAAGAACAAACGGUGGGAAGAGGAAUGCGCGGGGAAAGCUUACCGCGAGACGGCGAUGGGGCCCGGGAUCGAGCGGGCUGCGGCCUGCGGCGAGGCCGCGGGGGUUUUGGUGGAGAGAGGGCGGCAGAGAAGCAGAUGAUUUCGCUCUGGCGUGGCGUUAGUUGAGAUUGUUUGUUUGAUCGGGGGGCUAGUUGAGAUUUGAGAAGCCGUGCGGAGGAUGCGGAAGCCGGGAGGCGGUUGGGUUGGCUCUCCCAGGUGGACCAAGCCGUAUUUGCAACAUGGGCCGAGCGGUGCGGGCCUUUUUAGUCAGAAAAAGAAAAAUCCGUGGAUUAUUAUGAUCAGAAAUUCGGAAUUUCCCUUGUUUUUUUUAGCUUAUCUUAUGUUUGUGCAGGUUAGGGUUAAGGUUGGAGACUUUCCCAAGCUUCUUCGGCGUCAGCUAUGUUGAUGGUGGGCAGGUUCUGGUGGUGGUCCAUGGGCGGGAGGAGCACAACAACGACAGUACUAUCCGCAGGAGGUUUGGCAUCGGCGAAUUUUUCUUUGUUUUCUUAUCAAUGGCAACACUGAAUUCGUGACCUACCACAUGGCUGUUGUUCGAAGGAGACUCGAUGCUUUCACCGGUGGCGUGUUCAUCGGGAAUUUGUCCCUCCAAGGAGGUUUCCCUUGGAGGUUAAGAAUCCACUUGCUCUUGUAUGUGGGCUGGUGUUCUUGGAUUCUCUUUGUGUCAUUGUUGCUUGUUGGCCGGAGCUUACCGGUGAUGCAACUAGCGUCUGUUUUUGAUGAAAGUAGAGUUUGCCCAGGACGUUCAACGGUUGAAAAGCACGAUGUGAUGCUGAUGGGCUUAAAAUUUGAAGACUCUUCUUCGAAUCGGGAAUCGGCCCGAAGAUUCAUUCUAGGUCAUCUUCUUCAUUGCGGGAGAUGGAGGAGGACCAGGUUGCGGCAGCGAAGAUCAGCGACGACGACGGGCACUCGAUGCUCUUGUAAUGGACUUAUGUGUAAUUUUAUCUUCUUUGAGGUACCCGGUCAGGGGCUUGGAUGUAAAAGUGAUGUGUCAAUAAAAAUCCAACCCUUUCUAAAAAAAAGAAAUUCGGAAUUUAAAGGAUGUCCAAACCUUCAAGGUGAGCAUCUCCAGCAGCCCCAAUAUCACUUUUACCGUUAUCGGGGGAGUUGCUUUUGCAGUCUCCCAAUAAUCUCAUCCCAAUCCAACUACUGUAUUGGAAGAGUCACAACUCCUCUUUUAUUUAGGGAGAGUUAGGGUGAAUUAUUGGGAUGUCCCAAUAAUUAUUGGGAAAAGGAAAAGGUAGUCUGCUGGAGCACUAUUUUCUUAUCACUCUCUAAAUAUGGUAGUUGAAUUAUGAAAGGAAGACUACUCUCAUCUCCACGGAUGCCUAGGAACAAAGGUGGGAACAAACAGGUAGCUGACUGUCCAACACUCCAACUAUCGUUCAAGUGGCACCCAACGAGAAGUUUUUGUGAUCAAACAUUAACGCUGAAACAAGAACAAUCACGGGGAGGAAAGAAGAAAGUAUCUGGCACUGCAGACUGCUCUUCGGUAAAAACUAAGUCAAAAUAUGCGCAACUUCAAAGUUUUAUAUAAAUCAUAUUGCAGACAAUGUAGCUUGCCCAACACAUCAAGGAAUAUGUUCUAAAUUCUCCACAACGUAAUGUAAACCAUAUAUCAUAUAACAGUAGCAUCCAACACAACCUUACAAAGCCUGUAUGAUUUGCCAAUCUGACCAAUGCCACGUGUCUUAUUCUAUUCACAGUUUGAUCCUAAAAGGCAAAAAGUAAUUGGAAAAACCGGUUUAGCUGUGUCGAGAAGACCACCAAAAAAACCUCCAAUGUGGUACCAAUUACAGUCAGUUUGAAGCCCUGCGACAAAAAUGAGCUUCAUCGAGAGCUUGUUCUACUAUGUACACCAACUGAAUCCUUGUGACUGCAUUCUGAUUAGUUGUGAGAUCUUAUGCUAGCCAUGUCUUAGCCUUCCACCCUCUCAUAGAAAAGAAUGUAAGCCUCGCGCUUGAGAACUUCUUCUAGAGUCACUUGGCUGAUGUAUCUAUCGUCUGCACAAAACCAUGAGGAUGAGCAGCUGCUCUGCUGUUGCUGAUUUCCAAGCUUUCUUGCUCUCACGUAAGCAACAUAGUGUCCUGUAACCAAGGACUUGCUGCCACGGUGCUCUACAACACCAGCUAGACGAUAGAGGGAAUUACCUUUGUCCACAGAGCUGAGUAUUGGAAAAAACAAAGCAAAGUUAAACCAAAUGUAUGGCUAUAAAUUAUUGCAACUGGUUAUGAAAAUGACAUGCCUCUCUUGGUCAUACAUCCUCAUUAACUGAACACUGUCAACAAGAAACCUCUAACAGAUCUACCAGAUAAAUACCCAUGACCAUGAUCCUUCUCAAGUGAUUAAUCAUAUAACAAUGAAUAAUUCAACAAAUAAAGGCUCUACAAUUAUUAAAAAAAAACUAUGUCAUCUGAAUAUUGGAGAACACAAAGCAAGAUUAAACCAAAUGUGUGGCUAUAAAUUAUUGUAACAUGUUAUGAAAAUGCCAUUCCUUUCUUGGUCAUGACUGAACAUGGUCAACAAGAGACGUCUAUCAGAUAUACACCAUGAUCCUUCUCAAGUGAUUAGUCAUCCAACAAUGAAUAUUUCAACAAAUAAAGGCUCUAAAAUUAUUAAGAACGCCAUUACAAAGUACUAGGUUUAUUUUAGGCAUUUAUCUUUGAAAUAACAACACCAGGAAGUCAGAACUGUAGCUAAUAUCCAACUCUCCAAAAAAAGAAAGGCUGCUAUGUUAGGCAUUUAAAAGGCACCUACAGACACAGACAUAAUGAGCUCUUAGAUAUCAUAAAUCUAAUUUACAGUGAAGUAAGCGAUAUAGUGAUUGGUUUUGUAGCAGAUGACUUGUGUGUUCCCCAUCAUAUUCAAAUGUGAUUGGUUUUGUCAUACAAAUAAACUCAAUUACAACUGGUUCACUGAAGCAUUUUCCAACCAAAGACAGAUUAUGGAAGGUAGGUUCAACAUGGUGCUGGUCAAAAUCAAACUAGAAAAGAACUACAAAUAUACACAGCAGCUCUCCUGUGUAUUGUAAAAAAAAAAAGAAGAAGACUGUAGAAAAGAACAUUUACUUCAGAUGCUGUGUGAGAACAAAUGAAACCUCUACUUCAGUCGCAAACUGGAAUUACAGCUAGUUUAAAAACAUAGAUCUCUGUGUGUGAACAGAUGAAAAAUACACAGAGCUGCACAGGUUCCAACAGAUGCACCUUUUUAGACAUGUUACCAAUGGCAUCUUUACAAUUCCUUCACAUAGUUCCAAGUUCAAAAUAGUGUGUCAUGGAAGUACCAUAUGCAGUGGCCCAUUCCCCUCAUUUAUGAAAGGGCGAUGUAUUUUGAAUCUGAUAAGAUGCUGGUAACUUAUGAACCCUUGUUGUAUGGCCUUUUUUUCUUCUCAACCUUUCAAUACCGCUGCAUAUUUUACUACACAUAAAACUUCUUCCUUUCUCUCUAUGCACAAAUUAUUACUUUGCCUAUUCAUUUUACUAUUAUUUUGUUACAGCUGUUUAGUGAAUAUAAUAAAUUACUUACAAGGACCUACAUUCUUUUAUCACCCAUUACCGCGCUGCUGAAUACAAAUGUUUCCAAGGCAAUUAGACCAGUUGUUCAAUUUUCUUUAUUCUAAAUCAGAUUAAUCCGCACAGAUAAAGAUAAGUAGAUUUGUCCUAAAUGACCUCUAUGCAAAUGAGGGAAAUUAUCCAAUUUUGACCUCUAUGCAAAUAAGGGAAAUUAUCCAAUUUUCCAGGAACUUACCAUACUCUACGCCAUUCAUUUUUUGCGCAAUAUGAUAGCAUGCUUGUUUUAAGACUCUAGUAGUUUAUUGCAAAAUCUAAUGUGUACAUAGUAUAUGGUUACAAGUCCACACAAUCACAAAUGAGAACGCCAAAAUAUGGAUAAACAACUAAAUGGCCAGCACUGACAUGUGCUCUUAAGCCUUUGUUUAGAGAAUUCUGUGUAUUGUUGAAGCUAAUAGAAACAAAAUGGAGAGAAAAGGCUAAUGCAUUUAGAAACUUAUUAGAGCUUAGAACUGCACAGAUGUACAAGAUAUUAUUGUGAAGAACUAUCAGUACCUUGGGUCCAUGAAUCGCCCUACAUCAAGAUACUCCUUAAAUCUCACAUGCUCACUCAUUUUAAGCCUGACUUCGUAACAGGUGAAAGCUCUCUUAAGCUGAAGAGUUAAUACAGGCGGCAGUUUCUUAAAAAGAUUUGUUUGAAUACCAUCUCCAACAUUAUCUUCCUGCUCAUUUUUUUUGUCUUUCAAUUGGUAUGAACUAUGAUCCAUCGCUAAUUGCUCCGUCAUGUCCUGAUACACUUCACUAUUAUUGGCUCUGAACUUGUUAUGCUGCAACUCAUGUUCUUUACUAGUUAUGCUGCGAGCAGUAGAGUCUUUUUCACCACAACUCAUCCCUGAGCUUGUUCCUUCAGUGAUUCUAUCCACUGUUUGUAUAAUUUGACUCUGUUCAUCAGAUGCAUGAGGUUGCCUAUUUGAAGAUGAUUUGCAUUCUACUGACAAAUUACUCAGUCCACUAGAUUUCUCAUUUGAGCGUACUGUCCUGUCUGAUUGUUCAGUCUGGUCCCCAACAACUUUUGUGUCUUCAUUGGCGCUUCCCACCAUCUGCUCACCAUUUUUACUUUGGUUGGCACUGGCCUGCUUCUGUUCCUUGGCACAAUUAUCACAGCGCCAACAUAUCAGUCCUUCAUGAAACAGUAACAAGCAGUCUUCAAUCGAUCCUAUUGAAUCUGCGGUCAUCUCAUUCAUUUCCUCAACUUUGACAUCAGACACGUUAUGAGGAAGAAAACUAACAGAUUUUACUGGCACCUCAAUGAUCCUUUGCGGAAGUUCAAAACGUGAGACCUCGUUCUCCUGAGUCUGCAAAGGACUGUGUACAGCAUCCUUGCUUUGACAGAUACGUUGCGCUUCAGUGAAAUCUGCAGAACCAAGCAUAUAAUAUUUUAUUUUAUUUUAUCUGCAGUAUCGACACCAUGCAACCAGCAACUGUCAUCUACAUAUUUUUUAGGAUCUUUAUCCUCCACAUUUGUAGUAGCUUUCUUUUCAAGAAUCCCACACAUAAUUAAGUUAAGAAACCAUUUGGAGCAAAAUUUAUUAUAUCGAAGGCAAGCACCCGACAUCCCAAGCUAUAUUCCAAUGGCAGUUUUAGCUACUACACUACGGCAAACUACAUUGCCAUGUUAAUACUGCUGAAAAGAUCCUGCUCGCUUUUGUAUACACAUUCCGAAGGUUUUCCUGAAAUUUUUCUUCUGUCCAUGUGUGCAAAGGGCCCUCAAACAAUUUUCUCCAUUUAGAAAGUGUAGGACACCUAUUCCAAAAAACGAAACUUUUUUCUUUUGUUGAGCGAGAUAACCAAUAAAAAAUGCAGUUUCAUAGUGUCCACAGUUCCUGCAUUUUGAAUCCUCAAAAGUGGUAUGAACAGUCAAGGCUUUUCAGUAGGUACAGGAGUGCGCAUAAACUCACCAACUUCCAAAGGUUUAGGUGUUUCCUCCAAAAUCACCUCUUUCAAUUCUGAACCAAGAAGAUGAAAAUCACCACUUUCAGCAACUGUUUGCAUCUUGUCCAAGUUACUCUGCUCAUGUGCUGGAAAUAAUUGAACAGCAAUAUUCAUCUGUCGAGAUUUGAGACUCUCGCUUGUUUGUGGUGAUGCAACACUUUUGGUUGGAUGCCCCACUGAUGGCAUUGGCAGUUCCAGAUCAUAGAAGAAAGCAUGGGUAACUGAUUUAGUUCCACACUUGCAGGAUAGUAUCUGAGACAGCUCAAACCCAAAAAUGGAAUUGAUAAAUGUAGGAGCAGUGGUUUUCCUUUCAAAAUUUUUAAUUGCCAUCUCCUCUUCAUUCAAACCAUUACACAGGGAAGAAAGCAAUUCGUGGCUGUCAUGCAUAAGACCACCUAUGAAGUCCCGAUUCUGCAUGCAUACACAUGCCAAGAUUUUCUGUGGGUUCAGCAAGCCUCCUGCAGCACUUGUCGUCUCCUCAUAAAGCUCCUUGAGUGCCAACGCACAGAGACCCUUAUCAUCCGGUUCUAACAGCCUUGCCCGCAGUUUAUCAAGCGCAAGGAGGCACUGCAGAAUUGCAUUCAUGUAGCAUGUGUUUGCGAUAUUUGGUAUCCCUUUGAUAGCAUAGCCUUGCGUAUUAGCUGAUCCGAACUCAUGGUUGUGCCGUCUGUCUCUGAGAUUCGGUAACCCACUGAUAGGACCGGGGACCACACCAAACCCAGAUGCACGACCUUCUGCCUGAAUUUGGCCCGUCAUUUCCAUCACGCCUGGAACAUAGGAACCACAAGAAAGAAGAAUGUGUAAACCCAUUCAACCCGAAACCACCAAACAUGCGACAACCCUACAAAUGCGGAUGAUCCAAGAAAGCUAAAGAAUUUUGGGAAAUCGGAGAAACCCCCCCGCCCCCCAAGAAGACGAGAAAUCGAACACUCCUGCGAGGAUUAAGAUUCAAGAACCGCACCCCAAGACCUGUACGGACCAUUCAUGGUACCAAGAAGUUCAGAGGCUGCAUGUAAGAGGGAAAAAAUAGCAGAACACGAAAUCAGCAAACGUUAUGACGAGGAUCGAGAACGGCGCCGCGGAUUCAAGAAGCAGAAAAACCAUGGAGCCACAUAGAACAAACGACAGGACUAGAAAUGCCCGGGGAAAACAUACCACAACGCAGCCGGGGCACGCGCUUCGGUAACGAACUGACAACAUCGCGGAUCACAUCCAUUCCAAUCACACGACCAUCAACCUCAAAUUCGGCCGGCAUUCCCACCUCAGCAUUGCACUUGAAGCAGUAUCCUUUUUCUGCAUCAUCGUACAGAGCAGCAACCCAGUGUCGCUUCUUCAUGGCGUGCGCCCGAGAGUGUCCAAACGGGUACUCAAUCCCCCCAACCCCACAGCAGAGAUGCCGGCCGCACUCCAGGCACAUCAAGAUACUGCUCUCCUCGGGCCGUUGCUUACGGUAACGGCGACCCUUCGCGUCCUCGCGCCGACAACCCACGCACUUCCCUGCGUCAUUCUUGGAUAGCAACGACGAACUCAACCUCGUGCGAGCACUGAAAGUGAGGACGUGGUUGCACCGAUUGUUGCCGCUGGUCCCCUCCGCCCCCUCCUCCACCAGAUUGCUCGCCUCCGGCGCCGACGCCGCGGCAGCCAGAGCCGGCAGGUCCAGGCGCGGAACCUUCGCCUUCCGCGGGCUCCCUUCCAGCUCCCCCUUCGGCGGCGUCUUCUUCCCCAUCGCGCCUGGAGCAAAGGAGCCACGAGAAAGAAGAGCCGCGUGAGUCCAUCAAACCCAAAACCACCAAACAAUCAAGAACGCUGCGGAAUGCGCAUGACCCAGGAAAGCCAGAGAGGCGGGGAAACAGGAGGAAAAUCCAAGAAAACGGUGAGGAAUCGAGCGUUCCGCCGAGGACCAAGAACUGCUGCCAAGAACCGUACGGACGAGGGAUGAACCAAGAACGCAAAAGGGCGGAGAACCAGAGGGAAUAAGGAUCGAUCAAGAACAACCGAAACCGCAACCAUUCUGACUAGGAUCAAGAGCCGACGGGCCAGGGAUUGAACCAAGAAACCUGAAAGGCGGAGAACCAGAGGGUUGGGGCGAAAAUGAAAUCAAUCGAGAAGGCGCGCGAAACGAAAACCAUUCUGGCGGGGGGGAUCAAUUCAAGAACGGCGACCCCGGAUUCCGGGAUCCGAACCAGUAAAACACCAAUCCACCGAGCGAGGAAGAGAAUCGGAGGAACAGCGCCGGGGGAAAGGCUUACCGGAAGACGGCAGGGCCGCUCGGGUUCGUGCGGCGAGCCCGGGAGGGAAGGGGAAGGGGGUUUGGAGAGGGAGGGGCGGCAGAGAAGCAAAUGAUUUCGCGCUGGUUUCUUCCGUUGGUGCGGUUGGGGUUUUGUGGGGGAGAUAGAGACGGGUUGGUGGCUCCUGUUAUUGGGCUGCAGAGAUGGACGAGUUAGUUGGGCGGGGCCGUGCCACGUUGGGCCAUGCGCAAGCCUCCUUUGCCAAGCUUAGCCUGGCCCAGGUUCCAUUUGGAUUUACUCAAUCCUCCAUUUUUUUUUUGAAACUAUAGGGACCAUCAUUGACUGAUGCAGCCAUUUUAUGGCUCACACAACCUACAAAAGGCAGGGACUAUUCAUGUUGGAAAUUAGGCACAAAUAAACCCAACCACAUGCAGUAUAUGUUAAGAUUCAUGGGGGCAUUUCCGGAAGAUAUGGAUGUUUGAAGCUUGUAUCCAAAGAAAUUAAGAAAUUUUUAAAACGAGAAACAAAGCGCAUUUUCUUUUUCAUCAAAUAAAAAAAACCAAAUGUUUUGAAAUCUAGCCACAGUCAGGGUUGCAAUCUAGCCCUAGAAACAGCUCACAUUUGGCUCUCAUUCUGCAAUUAAUCCUAAGGUUCUUGGCAUGCCAAAUAUCGGUUGCAAAUUAACUGCUAACAAAGUGCUUAGAUACAAACAUCCCCAGCUCAAAUUUGGUGUUGACAGACGUAACGCAUGCGCAUGCCUAUAUAAGGCAACGUGGACCUCUAUUGUCUUCCCAUUUGCCUCCAUUAUUCCUCCAAGCCCCUGUCCCUCUCUCAAUGCGCAAUGCAUACGUAUCACAAAGGGUUCUUUCUCUAGAUUUCGGUGGGGAUUGAGUUGUUUCUUGUGAAAUUCCUGGGGAAUUCAGGCUGGUCCGAAGGUAAUGCAUCACACUUCUCGGUUUCUCCUGCUCUUGAUCCAUACGCAUGCAUAUUCUUACCUCACCAUUCUGCAUCUGCCUUGUCUUCCCAUGCUUGCAAUUUGGGGAUAUUUUGCAUGCAAUCAUAUAUUCAAUGGACCAUACAUUUGUCAAUUCGUCAUUUCGUCUAUCGGAUUCAAAUACUCAAACAAAGAUGUGGCCAAUUCGAGCCAUCUGUUUUUUGAAGAACAGAUGCCAUAAAUAGAUUUCAAUCUUCUAAAUAUAAGCACCGCAACGUGAGCGUGAUGAGCAAUGCAGGGCAAUCAGGGGAGGCGAGAGGAAGAGCAAGAAAAGCCGGCGGUCCAAACAAUCGACAAUUAAUGGAGGAGAAGAAGAAGGACCUGCUCCGGAAGCUGACGAUCAUCUCGAUCCCGUUCGUGUUCGUGGCGAUCCCUUCGGUGGUGAUCAUCGUGGGCAUGCUGUCCCCGCACGCGGCGGAGCCCCGGGACGACGGCUCGGCGCCGGCGCCGCCGGGGCGGAACCACUCGGUGUCGAUGCUGAGCACCAUGACGGGGGGCCAGAUGAUCCUCAGCUGCCGCGCCGCCUUCUCCGGCAACUGGGAGUACUUCCACUACUUCAUCCUCGACCCCUACAAGCCCCAGCAGGCCUUCUUCCAGCCGCAGGCCGAUCCCUACGUCAUCUUCUGCAAGUGGGGCUACAUGGGCAACUUCCUCCAGGACGUCGUCGUCUUCAACAGCACCGCCGCCUGGGCGCCGCAGUGCCGCGUCGACCGCGGCGGGUGCCGAUACCUCUUCCAGGACGGCCACAUGUUCCUCGUCACCGGGAAGCACUUGCGCCACGGCCCCGUGCCGGCGGCGAAGGUGUCGGAGUCGGAGGAGGAUCCGGGAGCGCCGGCGCCAGCGCCGGGUCCGGCCCCAUCAUUGGCUCCGGCGGCUUCGCUUCCGGCCGCCGCGCCGGCGCCAAGGCAGGGGCGGGAGAAGACGCUGGUGGGGGACGUGGUGCUCAGGGAGUGCCGGCACGUGCUCGGGGUGUUCCCCACCAUGUGCCGGACGAAGCCGCACCACCACGAGUACGUCGGCAAGAUCAUCGGCCGCUGGCGGUGGUGGUUCAACUACUAGCUCACCUGCUAAUGGCAGAUUGCCAUCGAUGAACAUGAAUGGCACCCGUUGCAGGAAAAACGAGACGAUGAACUGUAUGUAACUAACAAGGACACGAUGUGUAGAUACAGAUUUACUGAAUUGGAAUCCGUAACUACUAGUAACUACUAGUAAUUUGCGUUGAUUGUAUCCCUACUUCUCAUAUCUCAUAUCCGUGUACACUGGUACAGCAAAAAAUCCUAUGCCACAGGCCAAGGAUCACUGGAUCAGAUGAGAAAUGAUGGCCAAGGACCAAGGUGAGGGGCACAGAGGUUAGGGAGUGGCUGAGCAACAAACAAAUAGGCGCGAGCAGGAGGAACUUGAAGGAUGACAGGCAGGGCAGGAGGAACUAUUACAAUGGCGGGUAGAAAUAUGACGAAAGCGAGAACCCAAGGAAGAGGAGGCCUCCGAUGGUCGCUACCGUGCCCUGAGAUAUCUUGGACGCCAGCAUGCUGCCACCCACCACCGCGAUCGAUGUGCAGAUGGUGUGCCCCAAGGUUGCUCCCGUAGCGACACCAAUCGCGUUCUUGUGCGUCGCCAGCUGCAUUGAAGUCAAUGCUCAAAGUUCAGUUACGAUUUUGUUUGUGGGUUAAAUUAUGAAUUUGGGUGGACAUGGAAGAGCUUGGAGUUUGAUUAGAAGAUGUAACUGAGCCAUACCGCGAUCGUAGCUAUCUGACUCCGGUCACCCCACUCCGCUAGGAAGGUCAACACAAAUGACUGAAACCAAAACAAGGAAUACAUAAAAUCAGUUAAAAACAUUAGACAGGUGCAGCAUCAGCGAUGAUAUGUUUUAAGCAUUGCACAUCAACUACUAGAGUUAACACAAACAAGCACUGUUGAAAAGGAUUGUAGAUCCUCUCGAAGAAAGUAAAAUGAUUGCAGAAUCAGAUGCCAGUAAACAAAAGUUUCUGAGAAAUGAAAUAGCGUAAAAUGAGAAGGGAGGGAAAUCUACCUCCAAGAAAAUAGGAGUGCAGAAUCUUGAGAAAACACGUCUAAAUGUUGACUUCCCUUGACCUGCUUCCAGCUUUUCCUCUACCUGUAUGUGUCAAAAAAUAAAUAACAUAUAAGCUGAACAGAGACUGAUCAUGACAACUAACAGGUCUCUAUAACUAAUGCGCACAGUAGGGAUACACAAAAUAGCACAACUAUACAGCACAAAAUGUCAUCUUGCCAAGUAAGGAAUAGUUAGUUGCGUAACUCUUUAUAUCAGAAAUUAACUUUCAACUUUCAAGCACGGUACGAUCCUGAAUAGUAACUUUUAGGAAACUCUGAGUAAUUAUGGACUUAAGUCCUUUACACUAUAUGUCUAUAUCUAGCACAGAUGGGUGCUGCCUGUUAUGUAAAUAAAAAGAGGGUGGAGGGCUGAUAAGAAAUUAUACAUACUUCUUCUAUUUCCUUUUUCUGUGAUGCCUUGGAAUCUGACCUCCAGGCAAUGUACAGCAGACGAAGCCCAAAGAACGCGUAAAGGACUGAAACACAAAAAUACCAAAAGAGGAGAUACGACAUCACUGAAUGAACUGGUGCACGCUACAGAAGAACAGAACUAAACUGAUAUUCCGGUUACAUAUCAUAGCUAAAAAGAUCAUGAGAUUAAAAGUAUUUGUGUCCAAAAGAGUAUCUACAUACACCCAAGAGAGGACCUUUGAAGCUCAAUAAGUUCUUUGUACCAUUCUUUGUUUCCAGUGAUUAAAUUUAGAAUUUGCUCUUAUAAUGAAUAUCCAUGAUUAAGGAGUGGCCUAACAAAUGUACUCAUUCACUAACUUCAUUGAAAGAAGAACCUAUACGUUGGUCUGUUAUGUACAGUUCCAAUUACGAGGCACUUGGAUGCAACAAAAAUUAGCAGCAUACUGUGGAGAAGCAUAAAUAUUCAAUCAUAUAACACCGUGACAAUUUGUACUAGUUCUAUUUCCUUACAUUUAUGCACCCCAGUAAAUUUCAAGUAUACAUAUCUAAAACCUGAAUUUUAAUUUGAGUACAUGCAUGUAUGUAACAUCUAGUGUACCACUUCAGGUGGACUGAAACAAAUAGUAAUCAACAGUUUUUACUACUCAUUUCUUCCGAUGGUUGGAUCAUUAUUCCCCAACCUCUACGACCUCUACCAGUCAGUUUUGACAUACCAGUUGCUGCGCUGUUAGUGUGCUUCCUUGAUAUCAAGUUUGGAACAAUUCUGCCUAGCCCAGUUGACAACACCUGAAAGAAGGCAACACCAAGCCCAAUGAAGGAUCAGUUAGACCAAACCUGAAUCCAUUUUAGUCCACCACAACACCUGAAAUAAGGCAAACAGCCAAAGCUUCAGUUUCACCUACUGUCAUAACGAACAGCGCCGACAGCGCGCCAGAGAGCACCGUCGACUUGGGGUGCCGCAUCGCCAUCAGCGCCGCGAUGAUGAACGUCUCGUCGCCAAUCUUCAGGCCAGAAGACACAGAAAAUUCAGAAACAUGUUCCGAGGGACGUAUACACGCAGGAGCAGAAGCAAGCCCAGGGAUGGACGCCGGCGCCGCGGCAAUCUCACCUCGCUGACGACGAUCAUGGACAGGCUGGCGAAGAAAGCAUCGAAGAGCCCCAGCCCCGGCUCCUGCGCCCCCGCCGCGGCCCCGCGCGCCCGCGCCGUGUGGAGGAACAUCUGAGAAGGAUAACACACGGGAGGGAGGCGUUCAGAGAUACGUACUAGACAAACCCAGCCUUCAGAGCAAAUGCUCUGGCUUGUCCAGACUUCAGACACACAGCAUGCACAUGCUCACCUUUGUGCGGCGGUCCAGGCGGGCGGCGCCAGCGCCGGUGCCAUUCGCGGCAGCGCCAUCAGCAACCUGACGACAGGAACGCAGAACCCGGAACGCAAGACUGUAAGAGCCCUGCGCGGAGACGAAACGGGGGAAGGACGGGGAGCUGGUGGGAAAUGCUGACCUGGUCCGCGCCAGCGGCGGCGGAGGCGGAAAUGGAAACGGAGAGGGCGAGGGCGACGAGGAGGGCCGCGGCGGGCGCGCGCCCGUGCAUCGCGACGGAGCGGGAGACGAGGUGAGAUCCGUGCGGCAGGUCGGGCGGGGGGGCUGUCGGCGCGGCGAGGCGGGGACGGGAUCUCGGAGGAGUGGCGCGGAGUAGGGGCAGCCAGCCGGGCGACCCGCGUGCGGCGUCGGGAUGGCCGAGGAGUUAAAAGGAGCGGAGGCGACGGGCCCACCCUGAACACUGCCCGUUCCGCGUUCCCUUCCCGUGCCAUUCGCGUCGGGCUCCACCUUGCCGCCGACGCGCCGUGCCGUUUAGGAAACGAAAUUCAGCCAAAAUUCAGAUAAAAUCAGCCUCGAACAUCUUGACGAAUUUUUGAAAGACCAUUUCCGUUCAAACUUUUCGUCAGAAAGUGUUGCUUGAGGCGAACAGGAUUCGGAAACUUUUCGUCAGAAAUGCAGAAUCCACACCGAGUAUCCUUGUAGUACGUAUCUUCUUUCAGAGUGUCUCGAGCACUCAAAUUGAGUUGGCGUACGCCAACUUCCGCCGAACCUGCUCACCAGAGGAUUCUUUUAUUCACCCUUUGACGCUCCCGUUAGGUUGGAUCUCACGUAACGACGUUGACGCGUGCACACACGUGAAUGUGCGACGAAUCUGGUGAUGCUCACUCCGAAGCUGCCGCAGCAUCAACGAAAAAAAAUUGCUUUGACCAGGGUUACGGACCUAGGGUUCUUUGCUUCAUGCAGUGUGAAAACUGAAUCCCCCAAUCCCUGGUACCUCUGAUACGCAAUGACUUUGGAAUGAACGUUUAACUACCAAAUUAUAAUUCUUCAGCUCUCCUUUUUGGAAAAUAAAAUGAGUCAUUCCCUCUCUCUUAUGUACUGUCAGUUAGACAGUUACUACAUAGUGUAUUUGAUGUCUGUCCAAAAACCGAAUCCCACUGUCUUUGUUUCUAUCUUUCGCCCACCGACAGCCAGAGUGUCAUUCCUUGGCAUCGGAUAUGAGUGAGUACUCGCUCGUGCUAACAAAAGCAUAACCAAGUUCUUGGAUAAUCCAGCCAACUUUUGGAGCUGACCAAACCUUCUAGGACGAUGCCAGUUCUUAGAUAAUCCAACCAAAGAGGUUACCAUGAAAAAAAACUGCAGCAAUAAUUUUUCGCAUUUCCUGGAUCCUGCCAAGUCAGUAAUCUGAACUUAUAUCACAAUGGCACAUAAUUUUUGAAGUUAUAUACUUAUAUAGUAGGGACCUUCUCAUCACCCAGCAAUAAUCUGUCAAUUAUUAAAAGCACUGCAAAGUAACUGAUUUAAGUGCCAUGGGUGGUGCACCUUAUCACUAAUAAGAUCAAUUUCACUUAGAACUCAUGGGACCUCACACAACAUAAACAGAGUGAACAAUAACUGCUGCCUGCUGGCAACAACCUCAGUAUGGCUGCAUAGCAAUAUUGACAUGAAAAUUUCCUCUUGAAGUAAAGAAGAUGACUACCUAAAUAUAUUCACCGUCACUGAGAGAAUACUCUAAGUAGUCAUAAAAAUGUUCCUGACAGUACAAAAAACGCGCGGGGGGUGGGGGGGGGGGGGGGGUCACACAGCCUUUCAAAGAAGAAUGUACUUUGCAACACAACUCAAAAGAAAAGACCAAGCUACAACUAAGAACAUUAUAUGAUCUGUACUCUCUAAGGCCAGGGGUCACCUAGAUCAGGCUUCUUGACAAAGAUCUGAUUGUAUUCAGGUCGCGACAUCUGCAGCAAAAUUCAUUCAAUAAUCGGUGUAAGACAAAAGUUCCAAAAUACCUGAUAAAACAAUCUGCAUUCAUCUAUAGUGAGGUAACUAACUCACACAAGGACAUGAUUUGCCACUGAGACAUGUCAAUGUAACAGGUAGGCAUCCAGAUCAAACAGUCUGGAUGACCAAACCAAGGAAAUGCAUAUGACGUUUAUAUCUAUUCCAAAUGGUGUUUUUUAUUCUAACAUCAUAAUUCAUAUGCCAGAAAGGCCUACCAUGGACCCCCCCACCAAAAAAAAAUGCCUGUUUUUUGAGAAAUGCAUAAUACCCGCCAUUCAAUCAACAACGAAAGGUUCCAAGUUGUGCGAAGGAAAGUAUUUGUAUUCAGUAAGCUACUAUAACAUCUAUGAUUUCACCUGAUUUCUUAAUAAUCAUUUCAAGGAAAUAGCUAGGUCUCCAAUCAAAUAUAUUCGGAUGGCUAAAUCUCAACAAUGCAUGUGAACUCAAAACUAGUGGUUUCUGCCAAACACUUAAACAGUGUAAUUCCCAUAGUCAUCAGCACGGGGGAAUUUCUCAAGAUCUUUUUUUAAAGAAAUUUCUCAAGAUCUAAUAUGGAUAAAAAUACCACAAUUCUACCAGUUAUUAUCUACACUAGGGAUAGGGAAAAUUCUAAGCUAUAUGGAUGAAGAGUAUCUGCAUUCACUAACCUUCUGUGAUUUCAGCUGAGAACUUAACAACCAUUUAACACAUUCGUAUUCGAAUGGAACUACUGUAUACUAUUCAAAAAUCAUGGCCACGCAGUGCCAAAUUGACCAAACGCGCCAUGCGAAUUGAGGCAUUGAACUACCCUACUCGAUCUCAUUCUGUGUUCGGGGGAGAGAUACUGCCAUACUGGGUUGCUGUGGGUGCUUACGAGGUCCUUGAAGAGGAGGAAGGCGACGAGGAAGAAGAGGACGAAGAGGAUCUCGAACUCGGCGAGGCGGACGAAGCGGAACACCUUGUCCACGGCCCUCGUCAGGAGCCCCGGGUCGUCCCCCCUCCUCCCGCCCCGCUGCUGCCGCAUCGCUCCCGAUCGCUCGUGGAUUCCUCUACUCUUGCUUCCGCCGGAUCCAAGAGGUCAGCGUCACGAAGGCCAGGCACGCCCCUCGCAGUAGAGGUGAGAGAGGGGGGAGCGCAGGUACCGGAUCUCCGGCCGUCCGGCGGCGUGGGGUGCGGCGGAGGGGAGGGCGGGAGGCCCCGAUCGGGCGGUGAAGUCGCGCUGCGGUGGAGAGGGUGGAGGGGAAGGGACGACGAGAGGAACGGAAUCGGGGUUCGGCCGGCGUCUCAGGAGCCUCGCCUAGAGGUAAAUGCGUAGCCCACGUCCGUCGGAUGUCGAUCAAAC